rnacentral:rRNA from 1 species
GGGAACGUAUUCACCGCAGCGUUGCUGAUCUGCGAUUACUAGCGACUCCGACUUCACGGGGUCGAGUUGCAGACCCCGAUCCGAACUGAGACUCACUUUAAGGGAUUCGCUCCACCUCGCGGUCUCGCAGCCCUCUGUAUGAGCCAUUGUAGCAUGUGUGAAGCCCUGGACAUAAGGGGCAUGAUGACUUGACGUCAUCCCCACCUUCCUCCGGUUUGGCACCGGCAGUCUCCCUAGAGUUCCCGGCUUUACCCGCUGGCAACUAAGGACAAGGGUUGCGCUCGUUGCGCCACUUAAGGCAACACCUCACGGCACGAGCUGACGACAGCCAUGCACCACCUGUGCAGGCUCCGUAGAGCGCCGGCUUUCACCGGCUUUGCCCUGCAUGUCAAGCCCAGGU